AUUGAACGCUGCGGCAUGCUUUACACAUGCAAGUCGAACGGUAACAGGUUAAGCUGACGAGUGGCGAACGGGUGAGUAAUGCAUCGGAACGUGCCCGGUCGUGGGGGAUAACACUUCGAAAGAAGUGCUAAUACCGCAUACGAUCUGAGGAUGAAAGCGGGGGACCGUAAGGCCUCGCGCGAUCGGAGCGGCCGAUGUCAGAUUAGGUAGUUGGUGGGGUAAAGGCUCACCAAGCCGACGAUCUGUAGCUGGUCUGAGAGGACGACCAGCCACACUGGGACUGAGACACGGCCCAGACUCCUACGGGAGGCAGCAGUGGGGAAUUUUGGACAAUGGGCGCAAGCCUGAUCCAGCAAUGCCGCGUGCAGGAAGAAGGCCUUCGGGUUGUAAACUGCUUUUGUACGGAACGAAAAGGUUUGACUUAAUACGUUGGACUCAUGACGGUACCGUAAGAAUAAGCACCGGCUAACUACGUGCCAGCAGCCGCCGUAA
rnacentral:rRNA from 1 species